UACGUAGGGUGCGAGCGUUGUCCGGAAUUACUGGGCGUAAAGAGCUCGUAGGUGGUUUGUCGCGUUGUUCGUGAAAUCUCACGGCUUAACUGUGAGCGUGCGGGCGAUACGGGCAGACUAGAGUACUGCAGGGGAGACUGGAAUUCCUGGUGUAGCGGUGGAAUGCGCAGAUAUCAGGAGGAACACCGGUGGCGAAGGCGGGUCUCUGGGCAGUAACCGACGCUGAGGAGCGAAAGCGUGGGGAGCGAACAGG
rnacentral:rRNA from 1 species